GCGCCCGUAGCUCAGUUGGAUAGAGCAACGGCCUUCUAAGCCGUGGGUCAGAGGUUCGAAUCCUCUCGGGCGUGCCA
rnacentral:tRNA from 1 species